rnacentral:lncRNA from 1 species
CCAGCCUGCACGAACUCAUUUCUGGUGGGUACCUGCUGCCCUCAGCAAACUUGGGAGCAGCUACAGAGCUGUGGAGGCACAGGGAUUUCUCUAGGUAGCUGACCUCAAACUCAGAGAGACACACGUGCCUCUGCCUGAGAGCGAAGAUUUAAGGCAUGCAAGUCUAUCUGCUAUCAUCAUCUCUGGGUCAGAAAGGAGAAGAUGCACCACUUUAAAGUGUGUUCAGGGCUUGUGAAAUGGCUCAAUGGGUAAAGGUGCUUGCUGCCAAGCUGACAACAUGAAUCAAGUCCCCGGGACUAAAUGGUAGGAGGAGAGAACUGGUUCCAACCGUCACGCGCAUGCACAAGUCAUGCCCUAGAGGUUGUCUACCUCUUGCCAGGCCACUGACUGUCUCACAAAACAGUAUUGCCUAUGCCAUGAGAUGCCUCAUGCUUGGUUCGUAUUUAACUUGUAUCCCA